rnacentral:rRNA from 1 species
UACGUAGGGUGCGAGCGUUAAUCGGAAUUACUGGGCGUAAAGCGUGCGCAGGCGGUUCGUUAUGUCCGAUGUGAAGGCCCCGAGCUCAACUUGGGAAUGGCAUUGGAAACUGGCGGGCUGGAGUGUGGCAGAGGGGGGUGGAAUUCCACGUGUAGCAGUGAAAUGCGUAGAGAUGUGGAGGAACACCGAUGGCGAAGGCAGCCCCCUGGGCCAACACUGACGCUCAGGCACGAAAGCGUGGGGAGCAAACAGG